rnacentral:tRNA from 1 species
GGGAAGAUCGCUCAGUGGUAGAGCGCUUGCCUUGUAUGCAUAAGGCCCUGGGUUCGAUUCCUCAGUACCA